ACCUGGGUGGCUCAGUCGGUUGAGCGUCUGACUUCAGCUCAGGCCAUGAUCUCGCAGUUCGUGAGUUCAAGCCCCACAUUGGGCU
rnacentral:tRNA from 1 species